GCAGGCGCGAAACCUUUACACUGCACGACAGUGCGAUAGGGGGAUCCCAAGUGCACAGGCAUAGCGCCUGUGCUUUUCGGUACCCUAAGGCGGUACCAGAAUAAGGGCUGGGCAAGACCGGUGCCAGCCGCCGCGGUAAUACCGGCAGCCCAAGUGAUGGCCGAUCUUAUUGGGCCUAAAGCGUCCGUAGCUGGCCGUACAAGUCCAUCGGGAAAUCCACCUGCUCAACAGGUGGGCGCCCGGUAGAAACUGUGCGGCUUGGGACCAGAAGGCGCGACGGGUACKUCCGGGGUAGGAGUGAAAUCCCGUAAUCCUGGACGGACCGCCGAUGGCGAAAGCACGUCGCGAGAACGGAUCCGACAGUGAGGGACGAAAGCCAGGGUCUCGAACCGGAUUARAUACCCGGGUAGUCCUGGCCGUAAACAAUGUCUGCUAGGUGUGGCUCCCACUACGAGCGGGUGCUGUGCCGUAGGGAAGCCGYUAAGCAGACCGCCUGGGAAGUACGUCCGCAAGGAUGAAACUUAAAGGAAUUGGCGGGGGAGCACUACAACCGGAGGAGCCUGCGGUUUAAUUGGAUUCAACGCCGG
rnacentral:rRNA from 1 species